UUGCUUUAGCAGCAUAUAUACCAGUAGAGAGGACAAUACAGAGAAGAUCAGCAUGGCCCCUGCUCAAGGCCGCCAUGGAAUCCAUGAAGCACUCCAUAUGUAA